rnacentral:tRNA from 1 species
GCGAGUUGAGCGGGAAUAGCUCAGUGGUAGAGCAUCGCCUUGCCAAGGCGAGGGUCGGGAGUUCGAAUCUCNUAACUCGCA